rnacentral:lncRNA from 1 species
GGAGCUCACCAAACUUCUUCCCCCCUUAGGCAGCUACUGGUCCCUUACAAGUGCCUGUCCUGCGACCGGGACCUCAACAUGCAGGUGCCUGGCCCGCACAUUGACACACUCCCGUUCUAUCCUCCAAUGCCCGUCAGCCACGCUGCACACCCCACUACCAUCAUCACAGAGGAGCAAGCACAACAGCAUGGUUACAGGAAGGUGCCCAAUGGCAGGUCCCACCUCAAGAUGCAGAGUGACAGGGGCCAGUACACAUCCAAUGCACAGCUCAAGGAUGCCCUGUGGCUCUCCAAAAAGGUAGGGAUGGCAAAGGGAAGGAUACGUCAGGGAGCACCAAGGCUGGGAGGGAGAUGCUGAGCAUCUGUGGGGAUUCGUGCCUCAGUUUCCUCAGGGAAAGCUGCAUGGGGAAGGUUACUUGGGGAUGCUGAAUUGGGCUCAACAUUGCAGCCAGCCACUCUCUCCUUCCCAGCCUGGUGUGACCAAGCUGCUGGGCACAGAUGGCUGCAUCAAUCACAGACAGAAGCACAGGCCUAAAGUGGCAGUGAGGGCACAGGACAAGCUGGGUAUGGCCCUGUAGGGCACUGGGGAAGGGGGGAGUGAGUUCCAGCUGUUUGCCAGCAGUGGGUGAGCAGGGCUCUGUGUGCAUGGCUGAGUAGGUGGAACUGUGGUCUGAGGUGGGCUGAGGAGGGGCGGACACAGGAUAGAUGGGGAGGACUGGUGGAUGCGGGUGUUUGAGCUGGAGACCAGUGUGGGGAUGGCCCUGGCCAGUGUGGGACAACAGCCUGUCUUCUGGAGAGCAGGGGCCAGCACUCUGUCCCGCAGGGUCUCUGGCCAGGCAGGUGCCCCUGCUGCCUGUCCUGUCCUGGGCUGGCAGAGCUGCCCCCAGCCAGGGCUGCCCCUGGGCUGCAGGGGGGCUCAUCCCUGUCCCUACCACCCUACUAGAGCACCGGCCAGCCUCUGACCCCCGCCACUGACCCCAGGCACCAUGGCAUUUGCUGCAAAUCCAGUUCCCCCAGAUGAAGCACCUGGACAGCCAGCACCAGGGCUGGGACAGCUGCCCAAAGAAAAGGGAUUUCUUUCCAAGUUAAUAAAAAAUUUAACCAAUUGUUUUUUUGAAUUUUC